rnacentral:rRNA from 1 species
UACGGGGGGAGCAAGCGUUGUUCGGAUUUACUGGGCGUAAAGGGCGCGUAGGCGGCCACCGCAAGUCAAUUGUGAAAUCUCCGGGCUUAACUCGGAAAGGUCAACUGAUACUGUGCGACUAGAGUGCAGAAGGGGCAACUGGAAUUCUCGGUGUAGCGGUGAAAUGCGUAGAUAUCGAGAGGAACACCUGCGGCGAAGGCGGGUUGCUGGGCUGACACUGACGCUGAUGCGCGAAAGCCAGGGGAGCGAACGGG